rnacentral:rRNA from 1 species
GUAGGUGGCAAGCGUUGUCCGGAAUUAUUGGGCGUAAAGCGCGCGCAGGCGGUUCUUUAAGUCUGAUGUGAAAGCCCACGGCUCAACCGUGGAGGGUCAUUGGAAACUGGAGAACUUGAGUACAGAAGAGGAAAGCGGAAUUCCACGUGUAGCGGUGAAAUGCGUAGAGAUGUGGAGGAACACCAGUGGCGAAGGCGGCUUUCUGGUCUGUAACUGACGCUGAGGCGCGAAAGCGUGGGGAGCAAACAGGAUUAGAUACCCUGGUAGCCCACGCCGUAAACGAUGAGUGCUAAGUGUUAGGGGGUUUCCGCCCCCCUUGGUGCUGCAGCUAACGCAUUAAGCACUCCGCCUGGGAGUACGGCCGCAAGGCUG